CCAGAGGGGAAGUAGCUCUGGGUGCUCAUAGUUACAGUAGUAACCUUCUUACACCAGAGCUGAAGAGCAGUUCUUUUAGCGGGAUGGAAGAAAAGAAUCCCACGUGCACUUUUUGAUGGAUCUGCCCUUCUCUGCUGCAGCCUUCUGUAAAAGCCCCAUGUUCACAAAGCAGCCUGGUGGCUGGAAACCUUUGCCAUGCUUCUGAGGGGAAGAAGGGAAAAGAGCUCAUUGUGUUCUGCAGAUCCAAGAGUGGUAGAACCUCAGCAGGGCAGGUCCUGCCUGUUCCUCACAGCGCUCCAAUGGCUGUGUCCCUGGACAGGUAGCAUGCCAGCAGUGUUUCCUGGUUACGUGGCUAUGUCUGCUGGAGUGGGAGGAAUUGCUGCAGCUCGUUAUAGGGAGGAUGAAUAGGAGUAACUGUGCUGAUUUCAUCACUUCCUUAGUGAGAAG
ensembl:lncRNA